GGAUUAGANNNNNGGGUAGUCCCAGCUGUAAACGAUGCAGACUCGGUGAUGCAUUGGCUUGUGGCCAAUGCAGUGCCGCAGGGAAGCCGUUAAGUCNNNCGCCUGGGAAGUACGUACGCAAGUAUGAAACUUAAAGGAAUUGGCGGGGGAGCACCANNAGGGGUGAAGCCUGCGNNNNNAUUGGAGUCAACGCCAGAAAUCUUACCUGGGGAGACAGCANAAUGAAGGUCAAGCUGAAGACUUUACCAGACACGCUGAGAGGUGGUGCAUGGCCGUCGCCAGCUCGUGCCGUGAGAUGUCCUGUUAAGUCAGGUAACGAGCGAGACCCCUGCGUCUAGUUGCUACCAUUACUCUCUGGAGCAGUGGAGCGAAUUAGACGGACCGCCACAGUUAAUGUGGAGGAAGGAAGGGGCCACGGCAGGUCAGUAUGCCCCGAAACCCUAGGGCUACACGCGGG
rnacentral:rRNA from 1 species